rnacentral:lncRNA from 1 species
CACCAUGCGAUUUCGACGCUUGACCCCUGGUUACUUCCGGGUGUUACAGAUGCAGGUAGCUGGUGAGCUGAAGGCAGAGCCCCGGAGUCUGCUGGCAGGAGUUGUGGCUACAGUGCUAGCUGUCCUCGGCCUGGGUGGCUCCUGCUAUGCCGUCUGGAAGAUGGUGGGGCAGCGGCGGGUGCCACGGGCCCCGUAACGAAGAAGAGAGACUCUCACUUGGAUGCUGGGGGGCUCGACGCUCAGCUGCUUCAGCCUGGGAGAAAGAAAAACAGGAGUUGGGAGCUGACCAGCCCUAGCUUGUCCCUGACGCCAGGAUCCGGGUCUGAGAAACGGGAGGCGGGCGGACCCACGGGUCCCAAGAGAGAAGACUCUGCGCUGCCUGGGGCUUCAACUUCACAUCUCCCGGCCGGUACCGCGGACCCUCCUCCGCCCCAGGCCGGGCUCGUCCGGGACUCACGCGCAGGCCAGACAGCGGUGCAGACCGCCCCCUGGCAGGUCGGGGUCGAACUCGGCGUUUGGGUCGGGCUGGGGUCGUGCGGAUCCCUGAGGCCGCAGCUCGCGGUGAAUCUCAUCCAAGUCCGGCCGCCGCCGCUUCGCCUUCAUCUGCCGGGCUAGAGAGUGCGCUCGGUGCGCGCCUGUCCGGCGGGAGCGACCCAUGGCCAGAAACAGCCCGGCCGGCCAAGGGGCCAGGAGC